GCUUAGAUGUUGGACUCGGGAGUCUUUAAGAAAACGUAGGCCAAUUCGGAUGUGUCUAAACAUCAUUUCUUUCUGGGAGGGAGGCUGAUUUCACAUUGUUCACCAGUCCGGGAUAACGUUAGCUGCUAGCUAAUGGUUUUAAAUUAUGAAUGAAUGACGUUAGCAGUAGCCUGCUAGUUCUAAUAAGGUAGCGCUAACCAGCUGCCGCAUGCUCAGCCUCAAACACAUACGUCGUAGUUCGACAUUCUCUGCUGGCAGCAACAAAUAGCUUUGGGACUCGUGCUUAUAUUUUUUAUAUGUACAGGUUAGAAACCAGCAAACAGGCCUACUAUUCAAUCUAAAAAGUCCGGUUUCCAGACGUGUUUCCUGGUGACUUUUUAGAUUGAACUGUAGCUGCUAGAGAUUACUCUCUAACUUUUACGAAAUAUAAAUGCACAAAGGGCACGAAGCUAUUUGUUUUCAAUUUUCAUGUAGAAAUACUGUCGUCUACGAGUUCAUUUAAUGACAUUGAAUGUUCCUUGGAGUAAGAUUUAACUGAGAAGAGUCAAAAUAGAAGAGACAGUUGUUGACUUCAUGUAUGUCCUUGCUUUGCCUUGUCACAGACCAGACACUUUGUUGUGAAUGUUUAGAAUAUAUGGGAAGAGGAGCUAAAAUGAUCAGCACCAUAUUCUGUGGAUCCCAAUAUAAUGCAUUUUUUUAAUGGGGUGUAUUAUUGGUUAUGAUAAAUAUUUGCCCAUUUCUUUCUGAUGAUAAACGUAAUGCAUAUUUAUGUAUCUGUGUUGCAGGUCAUUCACAAGUGGCUCCAGUCUGGUUUGGGGGUCCUGCCAUCCAAGUAAAGUUAUUCACAAGUGGCUCCAGUCUGGUUUGGGGGUCUAUGCUUUCUCAUCCUGUCCUGCCACCCAAGUGAAGUUAUUCACAAGUGGCUCCAGUCUGGUUUGGGGGUCUACGCUUUCUCAUCCUGUCCUGAGUGAUUCUUGACAUUGAAAUUAUAUCAAAAUUUGUCAAUAAAUGUUCAUACUUUUGUCAUUAA